GUGGCCGGCACGACCUUCACCUUUGCAGAAGGCAGCCAGGACCCUCAGUGAAACACCUUCCAUUUCCACCGUAGUCUCUACUAUGGUCUGGAUUUUACACACGCGCACAUUGGUAAAUUAUUAAAAGUAGUAAAGUUAAUGGGCGGUUAUCACCCAAAGACGUUAUCUCUUUUGGAAUCUCCUCUGCAUUUAAAGGAUUUGACAAGCCGACAUUUUUAACUGUUAGGCGUGUGGAGCAAAGGAUAAUAGAAUCGAAAAGUCAGAUACUGCAGCCAAUUUGAGAUCAGAAGAGAAUGAGUCACCUUGGUCUUCCUGUUGCAGUGCCUACUCUCUGCUGCUCACUGUGCUGUGGUUUGGCAUUUGAAGGAGAAUAUGGCUUUAAGACCACCAGGCAACACGAGACAUGGAAAUACUGAGUGCUGCCAACCGUUGCACAAGUGGACAGGCCCUGAGAAGCCUGUUGAGUUGCUAUGGAAAGCCCCUCCCUGCUCCUGCUCUGGGAUGCCCAGAGAUGUACUGGGGGUUCUGGGUCUUCUCUGUUUUCUAGCUAUUGUUAAGGAUUGAUGCCGUAGAGGGGAGGGAGGUUUUAAUUCCCUAAGGACAGACCAAACAUGUCUUUCAAGUUCAGCGGAGACUCCAGAGUGAACUGUUGAAGGCCUGCUGCUCAUUCUUCUUUCUUCUCCUAAUUAAUGGCAAUUGGGCUAAAAAUAUAUUUGGGGACAGUCUCUGAAGCUGUAGCUGCGACAAGUUGUUGAUAUAGUUACAGAACUGCGUCUGAGACAAGCACAGAGGCCUGGGCAAGUCGAGAGGCUGAGGGGGACUUGUUAGUGAAUUCUUGGGGAGUUUUCUCCUCAUUACUUCUGUGUAUUUCACACUUUCUCAGUUGAUUGGGAUGUGCUGUUAAGUUUCCCACUAGUAGACUCUGGCCAUUUAUGGUUAUCACAUUUAAAGUUUCAGCCACUUGAACUGAAAGUCCAUUCUAUAAGGUAAAAUGCAUAACUUUGCCAAGGCAUGAAUUGGAAUCACAACAUUGCUGAGUAGUUGUGCCUGAGUAUCUGUUACCUAGUGACCAGACCAGCUGGUGCCUAGCCUCUACAUCUUACGGUAGCCCUUUUCAUUCUUUCUUCUUUAUUCUGUGUGAGAAGUUUGGGAGACAUAUCCUUGGUGAAUGCCAUGAUCCUUAAUUGCCUCAUGACUAGGAGCCCAGCCCAGCCUUCCUAAACAUGCAUCAUCAUAAAGAAGACCCAAGGAGCGGUCAGAACAGCACACAAACUUGUUCAGCCACAUUUACUCCUCUUUUAUUAUGAGCCAGGCCCUAUGCUGGGUGUCAUAAGAAACACACAGAUUAGUACAACCUGGUUCUUGCCCUCAAAGAAAAUGCAACCAAGGAGGGUGGGAGGGAAAAACAAGGAUAAAAGAGACCAUACUAUAGGCCAAUGCCAGAUAACAACUCUGGGGAUGUUUUUCAGGACUAAUAACCAAUUCUCUGGGUACCAGCUAAGAGUUCAACAACUCACUUCUGUCCUAUGGAGUUAGAAUGCACCAUCCUCCUGGCACAUGGAUGCGUUUACCAAUCCAGAAGUUCUCUGAACCUUGCAGGUUCCACUAUCUCGGCAUGACUGAUCAAAUCACCGGUCAAUGGUGAUUAACUCAAUCUCCAACCCUUUUUCUUUUCUUGAGGUUGGGGAGUAGGGCUGAAAGCUUUAAGCUUCCAAUCAAGGCUUGGUCUUUCUGGCAACCAACCCACAUCCCAAAGGUAUCUAGGGUGCCCAGCUACUAGUCAUCUCAUUAGCACAUAGAAGACACUCAUCACUCUGGAGACUCCAAAGGUUGUAGGAGCUGUGUACCAAGAACCAGGAGUAAAGAACAAAUAACUUGUUUUUUUUUUAUUAUACUCCAACUACCAUAAGGAACUUACAACGAAAGUGUUACAUGGUUUCAAAGGGAAGAAAGAUCGCAUCCAUUUUUAAAGUCCUCAUAUUGCAAUAUCUUGUGAUGGUAAAUAAUUUGGACUCUGCCAACCCUGGGUUUGACUCGCGGGGCAAAUCUCACAGUCACUCUUCUGCCUCUUUAUUGGUAUCCUCAGUCCAUGAAAUGGAGCAAAGUCAAUUUCCCUGGAAAGAGUGUAAAGCACCUCAGAACUCUUACAGGUCUGGGGCUUCUUACUGUAGAGUGUUAAUUUAUUUGCCUGUCUGUUCAGUCCACUACAGAGCUUAGCUACAUUGCCAUUUUUUGUUAUUGUUUCUAGAAACCACAAUAGAUGAGGAGAUUACGGCUUGAAACCCAAAGUCCCAUUAUCUGUCAGCCUGUGAGAGAUAAAAAAAUGCCACCAGUGUAUCCAGAAAGUCAUUUCUCAGUAGCCAUAGGUGACAAGAAUUACAUUUCUUUACCAGGACAUCUUGAUGUGGCACAUCAUAAAUAUUCAGAUUCUGUAGACCUUUAAAAAAGAUACAAUAUCUCCUUUCUUGUAUAACACUCACUUCAAGGUCAGAUUCAGGAUGGCUCAAAGCCAGGAAGUAGGAAUUUUUAUACUUGAGAGAAAAGGGGCAGUUGGGGAGUGGGCUGAGGAAGCAGAAACUGAAAAGUGAAGCCAGGCUUGACUUCAGCAAUCAAUGGGUGAGGUGUGGCGUCCUUUGACCCAGGCUGGUGGGGCCUCUCCUCUGGGCCCAUGCUUUCCAGAGCCUGGCUCUGGCUCUCCUCCGGCUGUGUCUUCCUCCUGGGAUGAGAAGUUCAGGAGACCAGGAGUGUGCCCACCUGGAGCCCAUGCCCCCACUACUUCUAGACCAAGCUUGUCCAACCUGUGGGCCAUAGACUGCAGGCUGCAUGCGGCCCAGGAUGGCUUUGAGUGGGUUUACAAAUUUGCUCCAAUGCAAAUCUGUAAACUUUCUAAAAACAUGAGAUUUAUUUGGUGUUUUUUUUUUUUUUUUUCUCAUCAGCUAUCAUUAGUGUUAGUAUAUUUUACAUGUAGCUCAAGACAAUUCUUUUUCUUCCAAUGUGGCCCAGGAGAACCAAAAGAUUGGACACCCCUGUUCUAGACCAUGCUUCAGUGUCAAGGACAUUGGGAUUCCCUGCCCAAACACUAAGAGUUGCCCUUUUGAGGGCUAAUAGUGCCAUCUGUGUGCCUAGAGGGUGGGGCUGAUGGGUGGCUGUUUGGCAGGGACCAUAGUUGCAGGGAGACAGAGAUGCACACAUGCAUAUGGAAGAGGUCUUUAGGAUCUGAGCAAAACUAGAAGAGGCAUGAGAGAAAGGGGUGGGUUGUGGGCCAGGGGCCUCUUUUUAUUAUUGCCCCAGGCCUAUAAAUGUUAGGGGUAGCCUUGAAUGGGAGUCCAGGCUUAGAAAUUUUCAAGCAAAAACACUGGAUUUGCAAAUAGUUCCUAGUAAGAUAGAGCUGGAGUGCCCUUUUGCUAAAUUCAGCCCCAAUUGCUUUUACCUCUAUCUGCCAGGUCACUAAUAGUUCACAGCAAAUAGUUCACAGUGAUAGCACUUGUCCUCCUAGUUCAUAACUAUAGUCCUCGAGAUGCUGGAUAACA